UUUAUUUAUAUAUAUAUAUAUAUAUAUAUAUAUAUAUAUAUAUAUAUAUAUAUAUAUAUAUAUAUAUAUAUAUAUAUAUAUAUAUAUAUGUGUCCAGCUCCAGCUACUAGGCUCUUAUAAGCAUAGAUCAUUUUGUACUCAUAAAUUUUCGACUGUUAGAUUUACUCUUUUGACAAUUUUCACUUGUUAGAUCAUAUUAUUCAACUAACCAUCCACUCAAUCCUAAAAGACCACUAUUAACCUAAUCGGGUACCACUAUCAUGCUAACCGCACAUCUCUUCAUCCAAUGAUCGAAAACCUAUGAAUACAAUGGGGUCUAUACUUAUAAGAGUAUAGCAGUCCUAGCUAUAUAUACAAGUCAUCGAUGCAUGUAAGUUUUCGGCCCUUGGAUUAAGGAACGUACGGUUAGGAUGAUGUGGGCGCUCUAGGGUUGAGUGGGUGGUUGGUUAAAUAGUAUAAUCUAACGGAUGAAAAUGAUCAAAGAUACGAAUCUAACAGUAAAAAAAUUACAAGCACCAAGUGCUUGAUGCUUUUACAAGCACCAUAGCAGGACUCUCUCUCUCUCUCUCUCUCUCUCUAUAUAUAUAUAUAUAUCAAUAGCAAAGAGUCCUUCGUACUAUCAAGUUAUUUUCAAUAAUGUGGCUUUCGAAUCGACGAUCGACUUCGUUAGACAUAAUCUACUCUAUUAAAAAUAUUUAGAACCAAAUUUUAUAUUUUUUCUGUAUUACUUGGCUAGUGUUCAAAAGGUUUCAAAACUUGAUAAUUUUAAUGACCAAUGUGAUUCUUUUGUAAAAUUAACAUUGUAAAGUUAACAGUGUAAAACAAUCAAAUCUGAUAAAAUUUUUAUAGAAAACUCUCUUCACUAUUUAGAGUGUUAUCGGAAUCUUUGAUCUUAAAUUCAAGCCUUUCAUCAUCAUUUUUAUGAGAUUUUUAUUUUCAGCCGUUUAUUUUUGAACUAUUUGUUUGAUAGAUAAAUAAUGUUGAAAAAUUAUGAAAUUUAAUUUUUAAAUAUUUUUAAUAAUAUAGAUUAAGUUUAACGGAGUUGAUCGUCGAUUUAAAAGUCGCAUCAUAAAAAAUAACUUAAUAGCACGGAGUUGUCCAUGUGCUAC
rnacentral:lncRNA from 1 species